UACGUAGGGGGCGAGCGUUGUCCGGAUUCAUUGGGCGUAAAGAGCUCGUAGGCGGUUCAGUAAGUCAGGUGUGAAAUCUCCGCGCUCAACGCGGAGCGGCCACCUGAUACUGCUGUGACUCGAGUCCGGUAGGGGAGUGUGGAAUUCCCGGUGUAGUGGUGAAAUACGUAGAGAUUGGGAAGAACACCAGUGGCGAAGGCGGCUAUCUGGACGGUUUCUGACGCUAAGACGCGAAAGCGUGGGGAGCAAACAGG
rnacentral:rRNA from 1 species